rnacentral:rRNA from 1 species
GACGAACCGCGCGAACGUUAUUCGGAAUCACUGGGCUUAAAGCGCGUGUAGGCGGGGCGGCACGUCGGUCGCUGAAAGCCCCCGGCUCAACCGGGGAACGGGCGCCGAUACGACCGCCCUGGAGGGACGUAGGGGGACCUGGAACUUCCGGUGGAGCGGUGAAAUGCGUUGAGAUCGGAAGGAACGCCCGUGGCGAAAGCGAGGUCCUGGACGUCUGCUGACGCUGAGACGCGAAAGCCAGGGGAGCGAACGGG